rnacentral:rRNA from 1 species
UACGAAGGGGGCGAGCGUUAUUCGGAAUCACUGGGCGUAAAGCGUGCGUAGGCGGUCUUGUAAGUUAGGAGUGAAAGCCCAGGGCUUAACCUUGGAAUUGCUCUUAAAACUGCAAGGCUAGAAUCUCGGAGAGGAUAGCGGAAUUUCCAGUGUAGCAGUGAAAUGCGUAGAUAUUGGAAGGAACACCAGUGGCGUAAGCGGCUAUCUGGACGAGUAUUGACGCUGAGGCACGAAAGCGUGGGGAUCAAACAGGAUUAGAUACCCUGGUAGUCCACGCCGUAAACGAUGUGUGCUUGUCGCUGGGGAGUUCACUCUUCGGUGACGCAGCUAACGCGUUAAGCACACCGCCUGGGAAGUACGGCCGCAAGGUUAAA